rnacentral:rRNA from 1 species
UAAGCCCAGCACUGAACCUCGUGUCUCCGGAUACCGAGGAAUGUAGUGUUCAGGAGAGAGGUGGUUUGCCUGUCCGGUGAUUGUCCAAGUCCCCAUGAUCGGGGCUAGAGUCCGCAGAGGGUGUCAGGCCCGUAGUGACGCGCCGCGACCGUGAACACUUGAUCUCCUAAGAGUCGGGUUGCUUGAGAGUGCAGCCCUAAGCGGGAGGUAAACUCCUUCUAAGGCUAAAUACCGCCACGAGACCGAUAGCAAACAAGUACCGCGAGGGAAAGUUGAAAAGAACUUUGAAGAGAGAGUUCAAGAGUGCGUGAAACCGUUCAGGGGGUUAAACGGGUGGGCCCUCGAAGGUCGAACGGCAUCUACUCCCGUUACCUGCAUACGAGCCUGCGCUGGGACGAGUCGCAUUCUGCGGCCGCCGAGUGUGGUACGCUUGGGGCGUGCAGGGACCGCUAGUUGGAUGCCUAGUAGGACUCCGCAACCGGCUGGGCUCGGUCGUCAGACGGGUCUUGAGGGUCGGCCUCCUUGUGGGGCUGUGCCUUGGAGAUUCCCGGCGAUCGCUCGGCCGUUGAGUGCUACCUCGCUGUUUCCUCCGGAUGGGCGAGCGUUUCCCAGUUUUGCCCGAUCAGGGUGAAUGGGGAGCGUUGUCGGUCUGUUCGAGGCUCCGGUGAGCAGCGCGGAGAGUAGGUCGGGUCCCACCCGACCCGUCUUGAAACACGGACCAAGGAGUCUAACAUGUGCGCGAGUCGUCGAGUUGUACCAAACUCGAAGGCGCAAUGAAAGUAAAGGCUUGGGGUGCCGAGCUUGAGGGGAGAUCCCGUUCUGCUCCGGUAGCGCGGGCGCAUCCCCGGGGCGUCUAUACUGCGUUGCCAGUCAGACGAACCUAGAGCGUACACGUUGGGACCCGAAAGAUGGUGACCUAUGCCUGGCCAGGACGAAGCCAGGGGAAACNCU